AACAAUUCAUAGUUAGACCUCCAGUUGCAAGGGUUUAAUCAAAGUGAACUUGUCUCUCUCCUACAAAAUUUUCACCAAACUCUUGCAAGUAGAUUAAAUUUACCAAUUUGCAAACUGAAAUGAAGCCAAUAAACGAAUGAUGUACUGCAUCACUACCGAACUAAAGCCAAUAAACUGAACUGAAAAGAGUUUAAUUGUGAUAAAAGUCUGUUGCCUCGAGGACUUAAACCUAUUUAGUAUUGAGCCAUAACUUACAUCCAUAUAUCACAGAAAUCCUGUAAAUGACAUCCACAAGAGCCAAAAAGAAAAAGGAACACAAAGGGGCUUGACCCCUCCAACAAUUCAAUCAAGGGAGUGCCCUUCAGAUACUUCGCUUCCAUAGUCAACUUCAUCAAGAAUGCUUGGAUGCAUAUUGCUUCCUUAGACCUUAAUUCAUGCCACCUGCAACCUAAAAGAACACGUAUAAGCAAUCACAUAAUGUCUUCAGAAAAAAUAUAUAUCCCUCCAACUUAAAAGGUGAUCACUGAGAAUUUUGUAAAGAAGUAAUAGUCUUGUAUGUAAGCAUGAAGAAGAUCACAAGAAUUGAACCAAUGGACUCACUAGAUGAUACAUGAUAUGCAUAGACUGGGAACUAAUGGAGGAAUGGACCAUAGAAAUAAUAUUACAUAAGAAUUAUGUCAUUCAGAAUGCACAACCAGUUCCAUGGUUUUCAGCACAUAAGCUGUCAGAAUUUCUGUCAGAGUUCAGUCCAGUUUCAAUGAACUAAUAAUGUUCAUGAAGAAGAAUUUUAGCGCAUAAGCAACAUAUAUAAGCUAACGACUAAGAAAUUCAUUUCAGCAUCCAAAUGGAUGGUCAGGUAACAAAAACAGAACAGAAGUACAGGAUUAAGAAAUUGGAUGGUAAAAUGAUUGAAUGUCUCAGUUUUAUUGUAGUUUGUUCGAAUUGGAGAAAAAUCUCAGUUGAGAAAGGUCUACAUGUUCUUCUAAACAUAAUGCUGACGGGAUUAAGAAUUGGACGAACCAGGUAGUGGUGCUUAAUCCCGUCCCUCCCUGUUAUCUACUUAUCAAAUGGGAAAGAUGUUUGAAUCUUUGAAUGGCUUUCAACUAACAGUGAUAAACACACAUGAAAUUCAUCUAUGCAAUCCACUUUCAGAAAGACAACUUUGCUUCCAUCUCUUCAGAUACCGGAGGCAUAUGUAGAGAAGGAACAUCAUAGUAACCUUAACUUCAAAUUCAACCAAAACAAAAAAGGAGGUGGACUGCAUCUGAAACUUGUUUUUAGUCCAGUACUAGACAUCACAUACUACAAAGCAAGUUGUUUGCACUUCAUUUUACAACUAUUAAUUCAAGUGCUUGAUAUGCUCCUUAUAGUAAGAGCUUAUCUUAUCCAAACCACACAACCAGAUUCUAAAACAAGCUAACAACUUCCCACGCAUUCAAUACAGUUUUGCUUGUUACACGUUGUAAAGCCACCAGACUCUUU
rnacentral:lncRNA from 1 species